GACGAACGCUGGCGGCGUGCUUAACACAUGCAAGUCGAACGGAAAGGCCCUGCUUUUGUGGGGGGCUCGAGUGGCGAACGGGUGAGUAACACGUGAGUAACCUGCCCUGGACUUUGGGAUAACUUCAGGAAACUGGGGCUAAUACCGGAUAGGAGCUCCUGCUGCAUGGUGGGGGUUGGAAAGUUUCGGCGGUUGGGGAUGGACUCGCGGCUUAUCAGCUUGUUGGUGGGGUAGUGGCUUACCAAGGCUUUGACGGGUAGCCGGCCUGAGAGGGUGACCGGCCACAUUGGGAAUGAGCUACGGCCCAGACUCCUACGGGAGGCAGCAGCGGGGAAUAUUGCAUAAUGGGGGGAAGCAUGAUGCAGCAACGCCGCGUGCGGGAUGACGGCCUUCGGGUUGUAAACCGCUUUCGCCUGUGACGAAGCGUGAGUGACGGUAAUGGGUAAAGAAGCACCGGCUAACUACGUG
rnacentral:rRNA from 1 species